UUAGUGGUUAGCAAUCAAGUGGUGUAAGCCCACUAUAGCCCAUAAAUGUGGCUCCUGGGGUGUGCCAUGCAAUUGCAGAUACUGCAGGCUCCUGUGCAAGUGACUUGGUGGGCCCCAAGCAGUCAUAUCCUGACAUCAUCCUGUCUCCUCCAACAUCAUUAUGAUGAGCAUUUCGUGUCUGCUGAUCGGCAGCAUCAUCUGUAAUCUUUUGCAACCUGAUUAUGGCUCUUAUGCUGCGGCUAUUCCUCCUCCAGUAGCUGAGUCUAGGUAUUUGCCAAGGGCCUACUUUCAUCCAUCCCAGUCACAUGUUCCCCUCAGAGACAGUUUUAAUGCAGAGUCUGGCAGUGAUGAUGGCCAAACUCUGGCUAAAGAAUAUGUACAUCUUGGUUUUGGGGAGAUUCCAUAUUGGGGCCCUGACGAUGAGGCUGGUUCUCCAGUUGAUGGUGACUUGCCAGAGCAGAAUGGGUUUGUGGCACCUCAUUUGGAUGAGCAAUGGCAUCCCGCUACCGGCUAUAGUGACAGAGAUGAACUGUACUACAGGCCAGUCUUUAGUCAUGUGUCACAUCCAGAGCCAGUCUAUUCCUUUGACUCCGGAUCAAGAUACAAACGAGGACGAUUUGUGUUUGCUCAAACGCGUUACAUCCCUGGAGAGCCCCGUUACCCCUUUUGGCCAUUCUACAAGCAUUUUGGCAAAACUCAUUGGAGGAGACCCGCCAAAACUGCAAGCCCUGGGGGCUAUUGAAAAGAUUCUGCCGGUCUGGCAUUUGGACUUAUUGCAGCUUGUUCCCUGGAGUGCCAGUAAAAAUCUAAAUAAAGACAAAAAAAGUGAAAAUUGUCUUCUCUAAUGCUUGAGUGCCAUAAUGCCCACUUUAACUGAUCUCGUCAUUACAUCCCCUGCUUUUGUCAGCAUCUGCACAUUUAAAAACUACCAAGUAUUUAAUCCCGGUACUGUUGUUUAUCUGCUUGAAAUGUUGAGUGUCCUGAAUCCAAAAGUCUGUUAUGCUACCCUAACAUUGUUUAGCAAGGUGCACUGUUGCCACAGCAGAGGAAAAAUGCUAAGUGGUAUAUGAAUUUUUUUAUUUUUUAAUAAAAUAUAUAUAAACUGAC